CCUACGGGAGGCAGCAGUGGGGAAUAUUGGACAAUGGGCGAAAGCCUGAUCCAGCCAUGCCGCGUGUGUGAAGAAGGCCUUCGGGUUGUAAAGCACUUUCAGUGGGGAAGAAAGCCUUGGGGCUAAUACCCUCGAGGAAGGACAUCACCCACAGAAGAAGCACCGGCUAACUCCGUGCCAGCAGCCGCGGUAAUACGGAGGGUGCGAGCGUUAAUCGGAAUUACUGGGCGUAAAGCGCGCGUAGGCGGUCUGAUAAGCCGGUUGUGAAAGCCCCGGGCUCAACCUGGGAACGGCAUCCGGAACUGUCAGGCUAGAGUGCAGGAGAGGAAGGUAGAAUUCCCGGUGUAGCGGUGAAAUGCGUAGAGAGCGGGAGGAAUACCAGUGGCGAAGGCGGCCUUCUGGACUGACACUGACGCUGAGGUGCGAAAGCGUGGGUAGCAAACAGGAUUAGAUACCCUAGUAGUC
rnacentral:rRNA from 1 species